GAUGAACGCUAGCGGCAGGCUUAAUACAUGCAAGUCGAGGGGGCAGCAAUGUCACCGGCGAACGGGUGCGUAACACGUAUGCAACCUACCUAUAUCAGGGGGCUAGCCCGAGGAAACUCGGAUUAAUACCGCAUCACAUUAGGAACGGCAUCGACUUUAAUUGAAAGAUGUAUUGGAUAUAGACGGGCAUGCGUAGGAUUAGCUAGUUGGUAAGGUAACGGCUUACCAAGGCUACGAUCCUUAGGGGCUCUGAGAGGAGUAUCCCCCACACUGGCACUGAGAUACGGGCCAGACUCCUACGGGAGGCAGCAGUAGGGAAUAGUGGGCAAUGGGCGAAAGCCUGACCCAGCCAUGCCGCGUGCAGGACGACGGCCCUCUGGGUUGUAAACUGCUUUUGAAUGGGAAGAAAGGUAUGCUUGCGAGCGUAAUUGACAGUACCGUUAGAAUAAGCCACGGCUAACUACGUGCCAGCCGCCGCCGUAG
rnacentral:rRNA from 1 species